rnacentral:rRNA from 1 species
GAUGAACGCUGGCGGCGUGCCUAAUACAUGCAAGUCGAGCGAACAGACGAGGAGCUUGCUCCUCUGACGUUAGCGGCGGACGGGUGAGUAACACGUGGAUAACCUACCUAUAAGACUGGGAUAACUUCGGGAAACCGGAGCUAAUACCGGAUAAUAUAUUGAACCGCAUGGUUCAAUAGUGAAAGACGGUUUUGCUGUCACUUAUAGAUGGAUCCGCGCCGCAUUAGCUAGUUGGUAAGGUAACGGCUUACCAAGGCAACGAUGCGUAGCCGAUCUGAGAGGGUGAUCGGCCACACUGGAACUGAGACACGGUCCAGACUCCUACGGGAGGCAGCAGUAGGGAAUCUUCCGCAAUGGGCGAAAGCCUGACGGAGCAACGCCGCGUGAGUGAUGAAGGUCUUCGGAUCGUAAAACUCUGUUAUUAGGGAAGAACAAAUGUGUAAGUAACUAUGCACGUCUUGACGGUACCUAAUCAGAAAGCCACGGCUAACUACGUG